rnacentral:rRNA from 1 species
GACGAACGCUGGCGGCGUGCUUAACACAUGCCAGUCGAACGGAAAGGCCCUGCUUUUGUGGGGUGCUCGAGUGGCGAACGGGUGAGUAACACGUGAGUAACCUGCCCUUGACUUUGGGAUAACUUCAGGAAACUGGGGCUAAUACCGGAUAGGAGCUCCUGCUGCAUGGUGGGGGUUGGAAAGUUUCGGCGGUUGGGGAUGGACUCGCGGCUUAUCAGCUUGUUGGUGGGGUAGUGGCUUACCAAGGCUUUGACGGGUAGCCGGCCUGAGAGGGUGACCGGCCACAUUGGGACUGAGAUACGGCCCAGACCCCUACGGGAGGCAGCAGUGGGGAAUAUUGCACAAUGGGCGGAAGCCUGAUGCAGCAACGCCGCGUGCGGGAUGACGGCCUUCGGGUUGUAAACCGCUUUCGCCUGUGACGAAGCGUGAGUGACGGUAAUGGGUAAAGAAGCACCGGCUAACUACGUG